rnacentral:lncRNA from 1 species
ACACCGUGGGCUGCGGGCGCGGUGGAGCCCGGGGACGGCCUGGUGUCCGGGGCCGAGGUGACACCGUGGGCUGGGGGGGCGGUGGAGCCCGGGGCCGGCCUGGUGUCCGGGGCCGAGGUGACACCGUGGGCUGGGGGGGCGGUGGAGCCCGGGGCCGGCCUGGUGUCCGGGGCCGAGGUGACACCGUGGGCUGGGGGGGCGGUGGAGCCCGGGGCCGGCCUGGUGUCCGGGGCCGAGGUGACACCGUGGGCUGGGGGGGCGGUGGAGCCCGGGGCCGGCCUGGUGUCCGGGGCCGAGGUGACACCGUGGGCUGGGGGGGCGGUGGAGCCCGGGGCCGGCCUGCUCUCCGGGGCCGAGGUGACACCGUGGGCUGCUCUCGCGGUGGAGCCCGGGGCCGGCCUGCUCUCCGGGGCCGAGGUGACACCGUGGGCUGGGGGGGCGGUGGAGCCCGGGGCCGGCCUGCUCUCCGGGGCCGAGGUGACACCGUGGGCUGCGGGCGCGGUGGAGCCCGGGGCCGGCCUGCUCUCCGGGGCCGAGGUGACACCGUGGGCUGCGGGCGCGGUGGAGCCCGGGUCCG